UCCUGGCUCAGAUUGAACGCUGGCGGCAUGCUUUACACAUGCAAGUCGAACGGUAACAGGUCUUCGGAUGCUGACGAGUGGCGAACGGGUGAGUAAUACAUCGGAACGUGCCUAGUAGUGGGGGAUAACUACUCGAAAGAGUAGCUAAUACCGCGUGAGAUCUACGGAUGAAAGCAGGGGACCUUCGGGCCUUGUGCUACUAGAGCGGCUGAUGGCAGAUUAGGUAGUUGGUGGGGUAAAGGCUUACCAAGCCUGCGAUCUGUAGCUGGUCUGAGAGGACGACCAGCCACACUGGGACUGAGACACGGCCCAGACUCCUACGGGAGGCAGCAGUGGGGAAUUUUGGACAAUGGGCGAAAGCCUGAUCCAGCAAUGCCGCGUGCAGGAUGAAGGCCCUCGGGUUGUAAACUGCUUUUGUACGGAACGAAAAGCCUGGGGCUAAUAUCCCCGGGUCAUGACGGUACCGUAAGAAUAAGCACCGGCUAACUACGUGCCAGCAGCCGCGGUAAU
rnacentral:rRNA from 1 species